GCCGUUCCAAGAUGCUGUCAAAAUUAAAUCAAUAUGGCUACUGGAAGGCAAACAUUGAAUAUUAUUCUAUCAGGUUCUUAUGGUUUUAGAUCAUUUUAGUUGUUGUACAAAGAUUAAUUUAACAUUUUCUCUGGAAGUAUUAAUUUAGAAAGAUAAUAUGCCUCAUUGGUGUUGUGUUUUGAAGUGUGAAAUGCAAAGUAAUCGUGAUAAAGUUAGCUUUUACCACUUACCAUCAGUGCUACAUUCUAAGCACAAAACUGAACCAAUUUAACUAAAUAAGUUAUAGUUAUCAUCUGAGAGACAACAACAAUGGUAAAAUGCAAUAAAAUAUAAAGAUUUUACUAGCAAAAUGGAAAUUCCCCUGUAAUCAUCUUAUAUCUGGUAAGUUACAACAUUUGAACAUUAACGAUUUUUGAAGAUGUUAACAGUCUAAUCUUGUAGGAAAACCAGCCGACUUAACUGAUAAUAACAAUCCAGAUUGGGUUCCUUCAAUAAAUAUGGGGUAUAUAAACACAAUGAAAUGAGUUCCCCAAAAUCUAAAAUGGGAAUUAAGGUACCAAAUGAGAAUUAAAAGAAAAGGGUACCUACAAGAAAAAAUUGCUUUUUUAUUCCUCUUGAAAUGAUUUAUAAGACACUGGACUGUCUUAUAUUCUACAAAUACUAGAAUCAGCUGAGAGAAGUGGUCUACAAAAACCCAGGAAGGAAACGGAAUAUGUGGCUACGAAAGGCAAAAGAAAGGUUUACAAAGCAAAUGUGACACAUUUUUUUGAAAUAUUUAGGAAUAUCAGUAAAUUGCAUUAAAAAAAUGUAUGAAAAGAUUUUGUUCAAUAAAAAUGUUUAUAUUUA